UGAAGAUUCGUGUUAUUCAAUCCAGUACAUAGAAAGAAAUUGGGAUGAUGCUAAGGACUACUGUAAAUACAACCUAAAUGCGUAUUUGGCUGAAAUUUAAACAGCUGGAGAAAACAACUUCUUGAUGAGUAUCCUCCCAAAACCGACAUAAGAUGACAAUGAUAUAGAGGUUUGGCUUGGUGCAAAUGAUUUGAAAAAUGAUAGACGAUUUAUCUGGAACAAAAGUGGCACCGAGUUUGAUUUUACUGACUGGGGACCAGGAGAGCCUAACCGAGAAUAUGAGGAAUG